AAAUCUUGUAAUUUUAGAAUAUGUUUGGUUCGAAGGAUUUGAAGCUUUAGAUAAGGAUCGGAAUGAUUAUUUUUUUUUGAGAGAGAGAAAAUGAUAGUAUGUUACCUUUUCGUUUGUUUGUUUUAGAAAUGAACUUAGUUAAAAAUGUAAGUACCUAAACUUCAAACUUAGGAUCUCAGGUACCAACCAUCAAAUCCUCUACCACUUGAACCAAAUUGGAAAUGACCCAUUUC
rnacentral:lncRNA from 1 species